rnacentral:rRNA from 1 species
GAAACCAACAGGGAUUGCCCCAGUAACGGCGAGUGAAGCGGCAACAGCUCAAAUUUGAAAUCUGGCCCCCCGGGUCCGAGUUGUAAUUUGUAGAGGAUGCUUUUGGCAAGGCGCCGCCCGAGUUCCCUGGAACGGGACGCCACAGAGGGUGAGAGCCCCGUCUGGCUGGCCGCCGAGCCUCUGUAAAGCUCCUUCGACGAGUCGAGUAGUUUGGGAAUGCUGCUCAAAAUGGGAGGUAUAUGUCUUCUAAAGCUAAAUAUUGGCCAGAGACCGAUAGCGCACAAGUAGAGUGAUCGAAAGAUGAAAAGCACCUUGAAAAGAGGGUUAAAUAGUACGUGAAAUUGUUGAAAGGGAAGCGCUUGUGACCAGACUUGGGCGCGGCGGAUCAUCCGGGGUUCUCCCCGGUGCACUUCGCCGCGUCCAGGCCAGCAUCAGUUCGUCGCGGGGGAAAAAGGCUUCGGGAACGUGGCUCCCCUGGGAGUGUUAUAGCCCGUUGCACAAUACCCUGCGGUGGACUGAGGACCGCGCAUCUGCAAGGAUGCUGGCGUAAUGGUCACCAGCGA